UACGUAGGGUGCAAGCGUUAAUCGGAAUUACUGGGCGUAAAGAGUGCGCAGGUGGUGAUGUAAGACAGAUGUGAAAUCCCCGGGCUCAACCUGGGAACUGCAUUUGUGACUGCAUCGCUGGAGUGCGGCAGAGGGGGAUGGAAUUCCGCGUGUAGCAGUGAAAUGCGUAGAUAUGCGGAGGAACACCGAUGGCGAAGGCAAUCCCCUGGGCCUGCACUGACGCUCAUGCACGAAAGCGUGGGGAGCAAGCAGG
rnacentral:rRNA from 1 species